AUUGAACGCUGGCGGCAGGCUUAACACAUGCAAGUCGAGCGGGCGAGGUUGCUUCGGUAACUGAGCUAGCGGCGGACGGGUGAGUAAAGCUUAGGAAUCUGCCUAUUAGUGGGGGACAACAUUCCGAAAGGGAUGCUAAUACCGCAUACGUCCUACGGGAGAAAGCAGGGGAUCACUUGUGACCUUGCGCUAAUAGAUGAGCCUAAGUCGGAUUAGCUAGUUGGUGGGGUAAAGGCCUACCAAGGCGACGAUCUGUAGCGGGUCUGAGAGGAUGAUCCGCCACACUGGGACUGAGACACGGCCCAGACUCCUACGGGAGGCAGCAGUGGGGAAUAUUGGACAAUGGGGGGAACCCUGAUCCAGCCAUGCCGCGUGUGUGAAGAAGGCCUUUUGGUUGUAAAGCACUUUAAGCGAGGAGGAGGCUUACCUGGUUAAUACCUGGGCUAAGUGGACGUUACCUAUACAAGAAGCACCGGCUAACUCCGUGCCAGCAGCCGCCGUAAGAC
rnacentral:rRNA from 1 species